GAUGAACGCUAGCUACAGGCUUAACACAUGCAAGUCGAGGGGCAGCAAGAACUUAGCUUGCUAAGUUUGAUGGCGACCGGCGCACGGGUGAGUAACACGUAUCCAACCUGCCGAUGACUCGGGGAUAGCCUUUCGAAAGAAAGAUUAAUACCCGAUGGCAUAGUUCUUCCGCAUGGUAGAACUAUUAAAGAAUUUCGGUCAUCGAUGGGGAUGCGUUCCAUUAGGUUGUUGGCGGGGUAACGGCCCACCAAGCCUUCGAUGGAUAGGGGUUCUGAGAGGAAGGUCCCCCACAUUGGAACUGAGACACGGUCCAAACUCCUACGGGAGGCAGCAGUGAGGAAUAUUGGUCAAUGGACGAGAGUCUGAACCAGCCAAGUAGCGUGAAGGAUGACUGCCCUAUGGGUUGUAAACUUCUUUUAUACGGGAAUAAAGUGAGGCACGUGUGCCUUUUUGUAUGUACCGGAUGAAUAAGGAUCGGCUAACUCCGUG
rnacentral:rRNA from 1 species